GAUCUCAGAUGGUCGACUUUAGAGGUAGAACAUUCUAAUUCAGUGGCUCGAUUAAGAUCCAUCAACCUGCAUUUCAUUUGGACUUAACAGGAUCAAAAAUCUGCUUAAACGGUUUUCUCUUUAAGGCUUUAGGCGACGCAGAGACGAAUCAAGAAAACUGAUUAACCUUCCUCUGAGUUUACACGUCGUCUUUUAAUGCCAUUAGAGAUUCGUUGACUUUUAAUAUGAAGACUGGCUGUAGUCAAAUAUGCCUCAGAUGAUAAAAUGUUGUAUUUCACGCCAUUAAAUGCUGUUUGCUAAAUGUUUUUCCUGAUAUAGUGGGUCGUCAUGUAGUUGUGGAAUGCGUGUGCGCGUCUAUUAGAAGGAUUGUGAGCGCGAGUGGAAAGUGUUUGUCUAUGGGGUCUUCUGUACGUGGCAGCGACCAAAAUCACUGUAACGUUAAACCCUCUGAAACAGGGUGUUUAUAAAACUCUUUUUCUGGCUCUGCCCCAUCACACUUUACUUUACACUCAAAACGAGGUUUUGCUUGACGAUGGCAACGUUUCUGGGGCUAACACUGUUGACUCUGUUCUUCUCUUCACCCACGCAAGCCGAAAUCUUCACGUCAAUCGGCCAAAUGACAGACCUGAUAUAUACAGAGAGAGAGCUCGUCAAAUCACUGAAAGAAUACAUUGAGGCGGAAGAGAUGAAACUUGAAGCUGUAAAGAGCUGGGCUAAUAAACUAGAUCUGUUGACACAUGCAUCCACGUCGGACCCCGAAGGCUUCCUGGCUCACCCGGUGAACGCCUACAAGCUGAUGAAGAGACUCAACACAGAGUGGUCGGAGUUGGAGAGCCUGGUGCUUCAAGACCCAUCAGAUGGCUUCAUAUCAAACAUGUCGAUGCACAGACAGUAUUUCCCUGAUGAGGAGGAUGAGAAGGGAGCAGCCAAAGCGCUCAUGCGUCUGCAGGACACGUAUAAACUGGACUCGGAGAGUUUCUCCAAAGGCAAACUGCCAGGUCAGAGGCAGCACGCGGGGGUGCGCUACAAUGCUCUGUUGACGGUGGAUGACUGCUUUGACAUGGGGAAACUGGCCUACAAUGAGAAUGACUACUAUCAUUCAGUGCUGUGGAUGCAGCAGGCGCUGAGACAGAUGGACUCGGGAGAAGACGCCAAGACGAGCAAGGCUGAUGUUUUAGAUUAUCUCAGUUACUCUGUCUAUCAGAUGGGGGAUCUGCCACGAGCCAUCGAACUCACCCGACGCUUGGUGGCCAUCGAUCCCAGCCACCAGAGGGCAGGAGGAAAUCUGCACUACUUUGAGCGUCUGCUCUCGAAGGAGCUGAGGGACAUGGGUCGCAGCCAACAGGAGCCCGCGGACGAGAGGCCCAUUCAGCUCGACACUUACAAGCGGCCCAAAGACUACCUGCCCGAGAGAGAGGUCUACGAGGCGCUGUGCAGGGGAGAGGGCGUCAAGCUGACUCUGAGGAGACGCAGCAGACUGUUCUGCCGUUAUCAGGACGGCAACAGGAACCCGCGUCUGUUGCUGAAGCCGAUGAAGGAGGAGGAUGAGUGGGACAGUCCUCACAUCGUCCGCUAUCUGGAAGCCCUGUCUGACGAAGAGAUCGAGAAGAUCAAGGAGUUAGCCAAACCCAAGCUUGCGAGGGCCACCGUGAGAGAUCCUAAAACCGGCGUUCUGACGGUUGCCCAUUAUAGAGUUUCCAAAAGCGCGUGGUUAGAAGGAGAAGAAGAUCCGGUGAUCGCGCGGGUCAAUCAGAGAAUAGAGGACAUCACUGGAUUAACGGUGGACACUGCAGAACUGCUACAGGUUGCUAACUAUGGUGUUGGAGGUCAAUAUGAACCACAUUAUGAUUUCUCAAGGCGUCCUUUUGACAGCAACCUCAAGGUUGAUGGAAAUAGACUUGCCACCUUUCUGAACUACGUAAGUACAUGUGUGUGCGCUCGGAGACGAGCGUUUCUUGCCUCUCUGCCUGUCUUUACUCUAAAAUUUUAUCUUCAUAGAAAGAUGAACCUGAUGCUUUCAAAUCAUUAGGCACUGGAAAUCGUGUGGCUACUUUUUUAAAUUAUAUGAGUGAUGUUGAGGCAGGGGGAGCGACGGUUUUCCCGGAUUUUGGUGCUGCUAUCUGGCCUAGAAAGGGAACAGCGGUCUUCUGGUACAACCUCUUUAAAAGUGGAGAAGGAGACUACAGAACGAGACACGCAGCCUGUCCUGUUCUGGUAGGCAGUAAAUGGGUUUCAAACAAAUGGAUCCACGAGAGAGGGCAAGAGUUCAGACGACCGUGUGGCCUGACUGAAGUGGACUGAUCCAGUGACCGCUCCGUUCUACCGCCUGUGCCUGUGCACACGGACACAAUCACACACUCCGGAACGUGCAUCGGAUCCAGUCAGGACUCACUGCUAUGAGACAUGAUGAGCAGCGCUUGAUCGGGAGAUCUGUGUGUUAAGGGUUUCUCUUUUAUUUGACGUUCCUUUUAUUUGAACUUUCUCGGCAGAUUUAACAGGAGAAUCACGUCAUAGAAGUCAUUGUGUUCAUGUAAUGCAUAAAUUAUUGUUUUUCAGUGUUUAUUUUGUAUUAUUUUGCAAUAAAAAUAUCUAAAUUUUAA